GACGAACGCUGGCGGCGUGCUUAACACAUGCAAGUCGAACGGAAAGGCCCUGCUUUUGUGGGGUGCUCGAGUGGCGAACGGGUGAGUAACACGUGAGUAACCUGCCCUUGACUUUGGGAUAACUUCAGGAAACUGGGGCUAAUACCGGAUAGGAGCUCCUGCUGCAUGGUGGGGGUUGGAAAGUUUCGGCGGUUGGGGAUGUACUCGCGGCUUAUCAGCUUGUUGGUGGGGUAGUGGCUUACCAAGGCUUUGACGGGUAGCCGGCCUGAGAGGGUGACCGGCCACAUUGGGACUGAGAGACGGCCCAGAAGCCAACGGGAGGCAGCAGUGGGGAAUAUGGCACAAUGGGAGGAAGCCUGAUGCAGCAACGCCGCGUGCGGGAUGACGGCCUUCGGGUUGUAAACCGCUUUAGCAUGUGACGAAGCGUGAGUGACGGUAAUGGGUAAAGAAGCACCGGCUAACUACGUG
rnacentral:rRNA from 1 species